UGCAGUGAGCUGAGAUAGCACCACUGCACUCCAGCCUAGGUGACAGAGGGAGACUCCAUCUCAAAAAAAAACAAAAAAAAAACAAAAACUUGAGCUCUGUGUCUUGUCAAAGGUGUCUGAUCUGAAUCUAGUCAAGACUUUAGAUCUCACUUCCAGUUUAUGGGAUUUACAAGAGAUAGAGGUACAAGUUAAAUGACGGUACAAGGAAACAAUCAGACAAAUCAGAUAUGAGAUGCUCCUUCCACUAAAUGGCCUGGCCUACUCAAAAAGUCAGCAUUGUGGGGAAAACAAGAGGUUGGGAAUAUUCUAGUAAGGAGAAUAAAGAGACAUAAGAGCCAAAUGCAAUGUGUGCACAUGGAAAAGACAUUCUAGGGCCAAUGCAGGAGGCUAGAAUACGGAUUCAACAUGAGACAACAUUAGAAAAUUGUGUUAAAUUUUCUUGGGUGUGUCAUGGAUUUAGUUAUGUGUGAUAAUGUCCUUAUUCUGUGAAGAUAGAUACUGAAAUAUGUAUGGGAAAAUAUUAUGGCUGCAGCUCAUUUUCAAAUGGUUCAGAAAAACAAUAUACACAACACACACAUAUCUAAAGAUAAAUAUGGUAAGGUGCUAACAACUGCAGAACAGAGGGAGUGGGCACAUUGUACUCUUUGUGUUGUUUUUCUGUAUGUUUACAUUUUUCCAUAAUAAAAGUGUAGGAAAAAAGGGGAAGGUAACAAAAAGCUGACAGAAGGUUGUGUGAGCCCCGUGUAUGUGGCCAGGACUCGUCAGUUGGUGAACCAGCAAUUCCAGCAGGGACCUUCGGAUGCUAGUGCCGUCAGUCUUCUCCCCAGCCAAUCAGCACUCCUGGAGAGGAGCUCCCAGCCCCCGCCUGGGGUGUGUGGGCCUCACUGCCAACACAUGGGAGCUGAAUUCAGAUUUUCACUGAAUUCUCUUGUUUUCUUUCUUUUUUUUUUUUAGACAGUAUCUGGCUCUGUCACCUAGGCUGGAGUGCAGUGGCGUGAUCUCGGCUCACUGCAGCCUCAACCUCCCAGGCUCAAGUGAUCCUCCCUACCUAAGCCCCAGCCCCAAGUAGCUGGGACCACAGGUGCCCGCCACCACACUCAGCUAAUUUUAUUUUUUUUUUAGAGACAGGGUCUCCCUAUGUUGCCAGACUGGUCACAAACUCCUGGGCUCAAAUGAUUCUCCCGCCUCAGCCUCCCAAAGUGCUGGGAUUACAGGCAUGAGCCACCACGUCCGGCCUAAAUUCUCUUGUUUUAAUAGGUGUCUCACCCCAUCCUCAACUGGGGAAAGCCUCCUAAAGAAACCCACAGCCUUCUGCCCGGGAGCAGAGGGCAGCUGCCUGCCUAAGUAAAAUGGGGAAGGAUUCCGAGGGUCUCUUUUCCUCCAGACUUUCCCCCAGUCCUGUUUCCAGGCCCACUUCGGUGCUCCUGAUCUGCCAGCCUGAGGUCUCCUGGGGUUUGGUCCCUAAGGGCUUACUCAUGACUGUGAGGCUGUGUCAAGCGUGGUCUCUAGAGCCGAACCUCGGAGAGGUUCAGAUUCUGCUGUGUAACCUGGGGCAAAUUAAACCUUUCUGUGCCUAGUCUCCAAUAUUAGGGUACAAAUCCUGCUAGCAUUUUUGGGGGAUCGCGAAAGUGAAUAUACCUUCAACCCUUAGAUCAGUGGCUGGCACGGAGUAAAUCCUUGAGGCUACACACACACACACACCCCAACCCCCGGCAGAUGUAGGUUUCUGAUUUCUCUGGUCUGUGCGGUCACUUCCCAUUUUCUGUAAUUAUAUUGCUAUCUCCAGUCUGGUACUCUUUCUUCUGCUUUGCCUUUGUAGGUUUUGGCUUUUUUUUUUUUUUAAUCCCUUUCUCUCUCUGGUGAGACAUACAUAUACAUACGGUUAUAUAUACAGUUAAACAUACAUAUACAUUCACAACAUUAAGCCACAAGUCUCAAUGACUCUCUUUUUCUUCCUUUCUUUUUCUUUCUUUCUUCUUUUUCCUCUUUCUCUCUUCUUUCUUUUCUUUUCUUUUUUUUUUUUUUUGAGAUGAAGUCUCGCCCUGUCGCCCAGGAUGGAGUGCAGUAGCGCGAGCUUGGCUCACCACAACCUCCGCCUCCCGGGUUCAGGCCAUUCUCUGGCCUCAGCUUCCCAAGUAAGUGGAAUUAUAGGCAUCUGCCACCACGUCCAGCUAAUUUUAUUUUUUUAGUAGACACAGGGUUUCGCCAUGUAGACCAGGCUGGUCUUGAAUUCCUGACUGCAGGUGAUCCACCUGCCUCGGCCUCCCAAAGUGCUGGGAUUGCAGACAUGAGCCACCACGUCCGGCCAGC
rnacentral:lncRNA from 1 species